ACCAUCCUUUUCUUGGGGUUGCGCUACUGUCCAAUGAGCGCAUAGUGAGGGCAGUACUGCUAACGCCUAAACAACACACUCGCAUCAACUAGAGCUUUGCUUUAUCUUGGUGCAAUUUUUGGAAAA
ensembl:snRNA